UGGGGAAUAUUGCACAAUGGGCGCAAGCCUGAUGCAGCCAUGCCGCGUGUAUGAAGAAGGCCUUCGGGUUGUAAAGUACUUUCAGCGAGGAGGAAGGCGUUGUGGUUAAUAACCUUAUCGAUUGACGUUACUCGCAGAAGAAGCACCGGCUAACUCCGUGCCAGCAGCCGCGGUAAUACGGAGGGUGCAAGCGUUAAUCGGAAUUACUGGGCGUAAAGCGCACGCAGGCGGUCGGUCAAGUCGGAUGUGAAAUCCCCGGGCUCAACCUGGGAACUGCAUUCGAAACUGGCAGGCUAGAGUCUUGUAGAGGGGGGUAGAAUUCCAGGUGUAGCGGUGAAAUGCGUAGAGAUCUGGAGGAAUACCGGUGGCGAAGGCGGCCCCCUGGACAAAGACUGACGCUCAGGUGCGAAAGCGUGGGGAGCAAACA
rnacentral:rRNA from 1 species